rnacentral:rRNA from 1 species
GAUGAACGCUGGCGGCGUGCCUAAUACAUGCAAGUCGAACGGACGGACGAUGAUCUUGCGGCGCGGAUGUUAGCGGCGGACGGGUGAAUAACGCGUGUAUAACCUACCUAUAAGACUGAUAUAACUUCGAGAAACCGUAUCUUAUACCGUAUAAGCUUUUGAACCACGGGGGGCAAAGGUAAGAUACGGUCUUUCUGGCACGUAUAGAGGGAUCCGCGCUGCAUUAGCUAGUUGGUGAGGUAACAGCCUACCAAGGCAACGAUGCAUAGCCGACCGGAGAGGGUGAUAGGCCACACUGGAACUGAGCCACCGUCAAGACUACUACGGGAGGCAGCAGUCGGGAAUCUUACGCAAUGGGCGAAAGCAUGACGGAGCAACGCCGCGCGAGUUAUGAAGGUCCUCCGAUCGUAAAAACCUGUUAUUAGGGAAGAACCUAUGAGUAAGUAAAUGUGCCGAUCUUGACGGUAAUUAAUAAGAAAGCACCGGCUAACUACGUG